rnacentral:rRNA from 1 species
UGACAUCCCACGAACCUGCCUGAAAGGGCGGGGUGCCCGCAAGGGAGCGUGGAGACAGGUGGUGCAUGGCUGUCGUCAGCUCGUGUCGUGAGAUGUUGGGUUAAGUCCCGCAACGAGCGCAACCCUCACCCCUAGUUGCCACCGGGUAAAGCCGAGCACUCGAGGGGAACUGCCAGCGUUAAGCUGGAGGAAGGCGGGGAUGACGUCAAGUCAUCAUGCCCCUUACGUCCUGGGCUACACACGUGCUACAAUGGCCAGUACAAAGGGAUGCGAGACCGCGAGGUGGAGCUAAUCCCAAAAAACUGGUCUAAGUUCAGAUUGCAGCCUGCAACUCGACUGCAUGAAGGAGGAAUCGCUAGUAAUCGCGUAUCAGCACGACGCGGUGAAUACGUUCCCGGGCCUUGUACACACCGCCCGUCACACCACGAAAGUCAGCUGUACUCGAAGUCGCU